rnacentral:rRNA from 1 species
AGAUCAUCACUGGGCGUAAAGCGUGCGCAGGCGGUUUUGUAAGACAGAGGUGAAAUCCCCGGGCUCAACCUGGGAACUGCCUUUGUGACUGCAAGGCUGGAGUGCGGCAGAGGGGGAUGGAAUUCCGCGUGUAGCAGUGAAAUGCGUAGAUAUGCGGAGGAACACCGAUGGCGAAGGCAAUCCCCCUGGGCCUGCACUGACGCUCAUGCACGAAAGCGUGGGGAGCAAACA